rnacentral:rRNA from 1 species
AAUCCAUAGGUUAAUGAGGCGAACCGGGGGAACUGAAACAUCUAAGUACCCCGAGGAAAAGAAAUCAACCGAGAUUCCCCCAGUAGCGGCGAGCGAACGGGGAGGAGCCCAGAGCCUGAAUCAGCAUGUGUGUUAGUGGAAGCGUCUGGAAAGGCGCGCGAUACAGGGUGACAGCCCCGUACACAAAAGCGCAUGUGCUGUGAGCUCGAUGAGUAGGGCGGGACACGUGGUAUCCUGUCUGAAUAUGGGGGGACCAUCCUCCAAGGCUAAAUACUCCUGACUGACCGAUAGUGAACCAGUACCGUGAGGGAAAGGCGAAAAGAACCCCGGCGAGGGGAGUGAAAAAGAACCUGAAACCGUGUACGUACAAGCAGUGGGAGCCCCACCACUAAGCCAGUGGUGAACUCCACAUACGCAUCCUUUGCUGAGGAUACGGUUAA